AUCGUAGGAUUAAUCUUAGGCCUCCAUCGUUGAGUUAAAAGGGAAUCCGGUGUGAAUCCGGAGCUGUCGCGCAGCGGUAUGGGGAAAGCACGGCGAGUGCAUUACGAUUUAUCCACAAAAUAACAAUGCAAACACUGUCCUUAUAUAAGGAUGGGAAGUUAUCGCCCGGCGUUGUUUCUAUUCUCGAUGAAAACAACGGAUCCCAAGCCCGAAGACCUGCCUGAAUUACGUCGCAUUU
rnacentral:ncRNA from 2 species